rnacentral:rRNA from 1 species
CAGUCGCCACGGUAAUACCGAGGGUGCAAGCGUUAAUCGGAAUUACUGGGCGUAAAGCGCGCGUAGGUGGUUUGUUAAGUUGGAUGUGAAAUCCCCGGGCUCAACCUGGGAACUGCAUCCAAAACUGGCAAGCUAGAGUAUGGUAGAGGGUGGUGGAAUUUCCUGUGUAGCGGUGAAAUGCGUAGAUAUAGGAAGGAACACCAGUGGCGAAGGCGACCACCUGGACUGAUACUGACACUGAGGUGCGAAAGCGUGGGGAGCAAACAGGAUUAGAUACCCGUGUAGUCCCUGUCUCUUAUAC